AGGGACAGAACUUAGUGAUAAAGAGCUCCGGCUCUCGAAUGGACGGCCUGGCCCAAUCCCAGCCAUCCUGAGAGGCAGUGCCGGCAUCUGACUGCAAGACCCUUAAUGCCCCAGACUUGCCGCAAAGACCGGGAGUCUCUGCCGAAAGCCUUUCGCAAGCUCUGCUGUAAGGAAUAGGACUCCGUUUUAAGAUCGCAGACCCAGCACUAGCAUCAGACAAAGUGGACAAGGUGGACGAUGCCCUAGAAAUAAUCUGCUCAGGUGAUUUUCAAAUAUUUUAAAGUCAUGGAGAGUGUUUGGUAGAAAUGAAAUGAACCUAUGAAAUAGAUUUAAGAGGAGCAUCUCUGGAG
rnacentral:lncRNA from 9 species